rfam:Ornithorhynchus anatinus chromosome 3, whole genome shotgun sequence.
ACCCUCUCAGGGUCGCACCUGGAGGGUUUCCAGUAUCCUACCAGUCUCGGCUAUGGGAGGGAGAGUCAAGCAGAGGCCUACCCAUUCCGUUCCUAGCUUGGCCAGUGGCCGGCGAAUGGAAGGCAAUCUGCUACAAGU